CAGCCACAAAAAAAAAGGUUCUCUCUCUCUCUCUCUCUCUCUCUCUCUCUCUCUCUCUCUCUCUCUCUCUCUCUCUCUCUCUCUCUCUCUCUCUCUCUCUCUCUCUCUCUCUCACUCACUCACUGAUCCAUCAUUGGCUUUGGGAGUUUCGAUCUCUUGGGUUUCUCCUUCUCCGAUGUCGUUCUUGACGACCACUCUCCCGCUGUAGGAAGUUCAGGUUUACUUGUUAUGUGCUUUGUCCUGCGAUAUGUCAAUAUCAUGCGGCACAAGAAAACUAGAUACACGCGCAUAUUAUUUCCAAAGUUUGAAGUUGCUUAUUUUCCAGAACUCUCGUUCCUUUAACCUUUCUCUUGGUGCUGGGUGGUUAGAAGUUGCGCGGAGGUGAUCCUCGUGUCUAUGGAACUGACAAAGAAUAUGCUUUAAGGGCAGCUGAAAGACACCUUUACUAUAUACACUCAAAUGGCUACCGAUUGUACCAAGUUCCAGAUAGGAAUUAAUGUUUAUGCAUUAAGUGAUAAGUACACUGAUAUUGCCUCCUUAGGACGUGAAUGUAUGGAUAUCACUUUUUCAUUUUAUUUCAAGGGUUUGGAGAAAAUGGGUAGUUUAGUGGUGGCUUCUUGUGUCCUUGUGUAAUGUGUGUGACCUUUAGCAGUAUUUUUCUAUUAUAUGCCUUUUGUCUUUCUGGGAGGUCAAAAUGAUGUGAUAGUUUCGUUUCAUCUUCCCUUUGACUAAAUAUGUUAAGAGUUUAUUUGUGCAACAUCAAAGAAAGCAAGCGUUGUGCUAGUUAUGCAGUGAGAAUUCUCCAAAAUUUUUUUGCUAAUGCUUGUUGAACUUCACCAAGAUCAAAACUAAACUAUUUAAUAACACUAAUUUGUCUCAUUUAUCAAUCAUGAAACUCUAGCUAGUAGAAACAUGAAUCAAUCUCUGUGCCUCACUGCCUCAAUAAAAAAACCCAGAGCCAACUAAGUAGUGAGUAAUAUAUGAAGAAAGCCCAAUGGGUUUCUUUUUGCUGCUAUUAAGAGUAUAGAAACAAGCUCCAUGUGUUCCACAACAAUUCUUGUGGGAUGGUCUUACCUGCGAGUACUCCAAUAUGUCUGCACCACCAAGAAUCAUAUCUUUGUACGUGUAAUGAUCAUUCAUAAGACCUUAAUUUUGCUAAGCUCUGCAUGUGUAUCUUAUCAUCUUACACAAAUGUGUUUAUCUUAACACCAGAGACUUGUCUAUAAGUGAAAUCACUGGAAUCAUAGUUCCUGACAUCCAAAAUCUUAUUCAGCUUCAAAAAUUGUAAGUAUGGAGUUUCUACAUGAAUAAUCUGUUUUUACUUCUUUAAUAACAGCACUCUGUAUAUGAAUUUUUGUUAAUGAUAUAGGGACUUGUCAAAUAAUAAUUUGACAGGAGGCAUACCUGAGUUUUUAGCCAAAAUGAUAUCAUUGUUAGUCAUAAACUUAAGUGGGAA